AUUGAACGCUGGCGGCAUGCCUUACACAUGCAAGUCGAACGGCAGCGCGGGCUUCGGCCUGGCGGCGAGUGGCGAACGGGUGAGUAAUAUAUCGGAACGUACCCAAGAGUGGGGGAUAACGUAGCGAAAGUUACGCUAAUACCGCAUACGAUCUAAGGAUGAAAGCAGGGGAUCGCAAGACCUUGUGCUCCUGGAGCGGCCGAUAUCUGAUUAGCUAGUUGGUGGGGUAAAGGCCCACCAAGGCAACGAUCAGUAGCUGGUCUGAGAGGACGACCAGCCACACUGGAACUGAGACACGGUCCAGACUCCUACGGGAGGCAGCAGUAGGGAAUAUUGCACAAAUGGAGGGAAACUCUGAUGCAGCGACGCCGCGUGAGUGAUGAAGGCCUGGUC
rnacentral:rRNA from 1 species